AAAUGGGGCCAAGGGCAGGGGAGGAUAUAAUAUGGAUGAGAAGCUACAAACCGAAAGAAAUAGAGGAGCGAUGGGGAACAAGUGUAAACACAGUCAAAUCGCACCCGAAACCUCUAAUUCAAUCCUCUUCUUGACUCUAUCACUCACACAAAUUUUUUUAAUUUUUCUCAUCAUUUUUUUUUUUAUUUUCAAUAUUUUGUUUUCUUUUAUUUUUUUCAUCUUGUCUCUUUUCUUUUCUCUCUUUUCAGAACACAACUCUAAGAGACAAGAUACACAACAUAUUUACAAAACAAAACAAGAAGAGGAAC
rnacentral:lncRNA from 1 species